UAGGGAAUAUUGGGCAAUGGGGGCAACCCUGACCCAGCCAUCCCGCGUGCCGGACGAAGGCGCUCCGCGUCGUAAACGGCUUUUGGGUGGGAAGAACGGCCUGCACGGGUGCGGGUGUGACGGUACCACCAGAAUAAGCACCGGCUAACUCCGUGCCAGCAGCCGCGGUAAUACGGGGGGUGCGAGCGUUAUCCGGAAUUACUGGGUUUAAAGGGUGCGCAGGCGGCUCGUUAAGUCUGGGGUGAAAGGCCAGGGCUCAACCUUGGGACUGCCUCGGAUACUGACGGGCUUGAGUUAGGAUGAGGUCGGCGGAAUGCGACAUGUAGCGGUGAAAUGCAUAGAGAUGUCGUGGAACACCGAUUGCGAAGGCAGCUGACUGGACCUAUAACUGACGCUGAGGCACGAAAGCGUGGGGAGCGAACGGGAUUAGAUACCCCCGUAGUCC
rnacentral:rRNA from 1 species